UGCUCACACAAAACGUACUGGACUUGCCUCGUGCAGUCCGCUCAUUCAGUCUCUCUGUUCAGCGCGCGCAGGGAGGGUGAAUUGAUGUCAUCGUUGAAGCGUCGCGCAGGGAAACAACAUCUGGCUCGGUUUAACGUGGGAAUGAACAGGAUCAGCUUUCCGGGACUUUUUAUGAUAUUUUUUUCAACAGAUUGAAAACAGAUUUCACCGGAAUAUGGAAGGAUUAAAAUAACAGCAAACUGAAACCAAAGGUCGCGACUUUGAGGUCUGGGACCGUUUCUGUUUCUUUUUAGGUGUCUGAUCUCUAUCAGAAUAUAACAGUUUGAUCGUUGAGAAUGACAAUGUCGAGCAUUAUUUAGUGACAAGAUAUCAUAUGUUAUUAGUAGAGCUUUAUGGGAUGUGUUAGCCUACUACUAAUGGAUUGGAGGACUGGACGUCUGUGAGUGGAUUUUACAUUUGCGUGUGACAGAGGGAAAGGUAAGAGGACCAGCUCUUCCCUUCACACCUCUUGUGCUAAAGUUCAUCCACCUUCAGCUUCAGGUGCUCUGACACACUGUGUGUUUGUUUCCUGCGAAGGCACAAAUUCACUGAGCAAGUUGCUUCAGGCGUUCUAUUGCCACAUGUUACCACCCAGUCACAGUGACUGUCUCUGUUACCGUGUUACUCGUGUGUGUGUGUGUGUGUGUGUGUGUGUGUGUGUGUGUGUGUGUGGCAUCUUAACACCUAUUUGCUUCUUACGUCUUUCUUUCCAGAACUCGCUCUUUGUGCACUUUUGUGUUGGUGUGUGUGUGUGUGUGUGUUGGUGUGUGUGUGUAUACACACCCACGGACAUGUGACGAGAAACCAGAAAAAUGGAUUACCUCUCUCCCGCCAACAUCUCCCAAGAUGCAUCCCUUCUCUUCUCCGGCGCCGGUCUCCACGGCAAUGACCUAUACCCCGGCUACCAUGCCUACGACCCCGGUAUCGACGACCCCCCAACGGAAGAGUCAUCGUCGCCCCUCCAGUCUCUCUACGCAGACACCCCCCUCCUGGAUUUGGGAGACUUGGGGGGGUACGGUCCCGGCGUGGGGGGGUAUGGGGACAGCUCUCUGGCGGGACUGGGAGACAGUACUAAGCUAGUAGGGGUCCAGGUGGUUUUAAUCCUGGCCUACAGUACCAUUAUACUGCUAGGAGUAGUGGGGAACUCUCUGGUCAUAUACGUGGUGUAUCGCUUCAAGACGCUGAGGACCGUGACUAACUUCUUCAUAGCUAACCUCGCCGUCGGUAGGUAGCUUUUUAUAUAGAUGGCCUGUCUGUCUGUCUGUCUGUCUGUCUGUCUGU